rnacentral:rRNA from 1 species
GUAGUCUGCAACCCGACUACAUGAAGCUGGAAUCGCUAGUAAUCGCGGAUCAGAAUGCCGCGGUGAAUACGUUCCCGGGUCUUGUACACACCGCCCGUCACACCAUGGGAGUCGGAAAUGCCCGAAGUCUGUGACCCAACCUUAGGAGGGAGCAGCCGAAGGCAGGUCGGAUGACUGGGGUGAAGUCGUAACAAGGUAAC